rnacentral:lncRNA from 1 species
AAAAAUUCCAUUGCUGCAAAUCAUAAUCUCAAUUUCUCCUCCCAAAUCAUCUUCCCAAAUGACGAAAAACCCUAAUUUUACCUCAACCAAUCAUCUUCCCCAAAUCAAUUGUUCUUGGUUGCAAUCCCCAACUUCAACUCAAGAACCCUAACUUCAGAAAUCAAUUCAAUCGGUGAGAAGGGUACAAACAAUCUGCCGAAAUUUGAACUGCAGAUACAAUAAUCAACAGUUUGUUGAAUCGCGACCGUGAUUUGAACUGAAUUAAAGGUAAAAUUUGUUCGCUGCCUUGUCGAUUUCGUCUGAUAUUGUUUCACUAUCAAUAUCUACUCUAAAAUGAUUGUUAUUUUGGUUCGUACUCACCACAUGUCCCUCAGGCCUUGAUCCUUGGAUUUGUGUUUGCUGCAGCUAUGAUCUCUAUAUUAUUUGUCCCAGUAAAAGCUGGAAAGAAACAAUAUACAAUUUAGUCAUCAAUAAUAAAAUAUGAUGAACCGCUAAAAACUACAGUUAGAAAGCCAUGAUUAAUUUCACAGUAGAUCAAUGGGCCACAUGGAAUUUAAUCGGAAGUAGCAUAUCGAGAUCCAACCCUUUAGCACCUUGUAGAGAAAUCUAGAGUCUCUUACUAUCAUUUCAACAGCAUGAACAUCAUUUUUGCCUAUGUAUAUUGAUGUUUUCAGUGGGACAAAUUCAUUGAGCCAAUGUCCAUUGUAAUUGAUCUCUCCACUUGCCUAUUCAACAUUUUGAAAAGUGAAUUGAAAGUUUAAACAUUUAACUACUGACUUCAUAGAAUUAUCGUAAACUUAGCUAUUGAUUAGUCGACCUUUAAGUUAGAGUUUAAUGUCCUGCUAGAGUCGACAAUAGGGUAGUUCUACCAGAGGAUGGUGGUCCUAAAAGAAGGGUCAUCCUAUGACACCAGCAGCAAAGAAACAUAAUUUUUUACUUUGUUUGGUACAUUUUUUUGCAUUUUAAAUCAAAGUCCAGAAAUUUACCUGGAUGGUUUUAUGAUCCCAGAAAUAUCUUUUAAUAUUGUGAGUUUUGUUAUCUGAGCCAACUUUAUCCCAAAGUAACUCAAAGCUGACUCUGCUAUGAUACAUGUAGCAUUUGGCAAUGUAAGAAGGGCUCUAUUUCCAAUUAAGCAAUCAGCCUAGAAGGUUUGUUUGUCCCAUUUUUUCAAGAAUAAAUUAUUGAAGGGAAAAGAUGAAUGUUGCUAUGGAGAAAAGGACGUGGGGAUCUCACUCAAUGGUACUAUCCGCAAGGGAAAAUGAGAUAAAAAGAACGAGAAACAAGAGGGAAGAGCUCAUUGAAAUUGAACCGCUUAUGUUAUUCGUUAAAAAGAUUAAAUUGUAAUGGACAUGGUUUACCAUUGUUAUUGUAAUCUUGUAGUGUUUUUAGUACGACCGUAUCAAGAUUUCUGGACUAGUUUUUGCAAUGUAAAAUUCAUUUUGUUAUUGUAAUCGGCAUUGCUAGUUUCUGGGCUACAUUUAUUGGUUUUGGAGUGAUUUUUCCCAUGAUAUCUCGAAUAAAGGAUUCAUCAUUUCAAAUAUAAGUGAACUUCUAGUCGAAUCUUCAAAGCUUCACCGAACUUUAAAAUAUCUGUGAAAUCUCAUUCAACUUUGUACAAAUGCUUUACCUCCAUCACUCUUUAGCAUUCCGUCUAGUAUAC